rnacentral:lncRNA from 10 species
GUUCACUUCAGGAUACGUAACAGCAUAAAUCAAAGGUAAUAGUCUGUUUCCGGCUUUGAAUUAAAAAGUCAGAAAGAACUCUAUUAUAGAAAAACUACUUGGGAGAAGCUGUGAUGUAUAAGAGCAAGGAUUCCCGGCUUACGUUGCGAAUCACAGACUGAUUGGUCAGACACCAUUUUUGCAGGCCUCCUGUGAAGAUGGCUGGAUCCCAGAGAAGAAAUGACUACGUGGUGUAUGUUUAGGUGGAUGAGUCUGCCUUGGAUCUUGUGCUUUCAGAGCAGCAGAAUGAUUCCUAUGCAAGUAGAAAUGAUUGUGCUGCAUAUUUAGGCAGGCAAGGUCUUAGAAAGUGUCACUUCCAAGCCAGUAUGCAUGGACAGAGUAGUUGUCUUAUGAUGUCUAUGUAUGUCAUUGCAGUAACAGAGAGACAGUGGGCCUGAGAUUUUCAUGACUACACAUGGGCUCUACCUGUGGCCUUGAUGGUAAGUCCCAAGAUGGCAACAGUUACAAGCAGCUAGUUCUGCCCAAGAAGAACCAGGAAAGACUAUAUAGGGGGAAAUAUGAAAUCUUGAAAUUAAUAACCAAAAAAAUGACUGUCUAAAAAAUUGAGAAAACCCACAUGUAGAAAGCCUGUCCUCAACUGACAUGUGUGAUGGUGCUCAGGUCUGCAACCUGGGCCGGGGGCAGCUUGGGGCUUGGGUGAGAAAUGAUAUUGGAGAAUAAUAAUGUAAAUCUUAGUGUUCCCUAUCCCUCAAGUUGCCAUGGGUCAGUAUUUCCCUGCCCAUACCUUCCCUGCCCAUUUGCCUUGGGUAUAGGCCCCAUAACGCUGGAUUGUAGGUAACACAGGGGGUGAUAUCAGGGCAGAACAAAAGGCAAGCUGGGUAAGUGUUGACAACACACAAGUGUAAACUCACUUUCCCACCCCUGUGUUGUCUUCCCCUAGGAAAGGGUAUCUAUAAUCUACAUUUAUUGCUGAGUAGGGAAGAAAGUCAUAGGUUUAUUAUAGCUAUGAUAAAUGCUCUAAAGAAAUAGAAAGGUACCUAUGAAGGCAAACAAUGAGAAAAUAUGAUCUAUUCUGGGAGGAGGGUAUUAGUGAGAACUUGCUCAAGGAAUAGAUUAGACUGGUACCUUGUGGUUGAAGAUAUCUGGGGACAGAACUGAGAUGGAAAAAAUUGACAUCAAAAGAAGUAUCCAAACCCCCGAUGUGGUUAAGAGCAUGGAUACGGAAACU